rnacentral:lncRNA from 1 species
UCUUUUUUCUUCGUCACUGGUUGCCGACAUCAGCUGUUGAAUCGCUGAUGACAACGAAAUUAUAAGCUGGGACAACGAAAAGAAAAAACAUCACUGGUUGAAUCGUCGCACAUUAUAUCCACCAUCAAAAGAAAAAACAUCUGGGAAAAAAAGACCGCUAAAAAAGUCAUGAUUGCCGAGCGUCGGCUAAGUUGGGGAAUGAUUAAAAUAAUUGUGAGAUGAUGGUCAUAUGUAGAAAGUGAUACAUUACCUUCCUGUGGUAUUUUCAUAUAACCAGUGUUUCACAGCAGUGAAAAGGAAAUUUAGAUCCGAGAUCCACUUCAAAAAAAAGAUCGGGGCGGGAAAAUAUUUUUCGAUGCAAAAUCCUACACCAUCUAUUUCCACCAAGGUGUGAGAUUCUCCGUCCCCGGGCGAAAUCCUCAGUUAUUUUCGGGUACAAGAAAUUCC